UAUCUUUACCUUUAGCUGCAUUGGGUCCUUCCAUGUUUUUUGCAUAUGGAACAAGCAAGUCUUCUAGUUCUUGUAUUGCAGAAUUGGCAGAAAUCUUAUUCUUAUUUUUAUCAUCUUCCCGUUGCUGUAAAAUAAAAACAGAUGUCAUGAAAUACCUGAUUCAUUUGGAAAGAAGAAUUGUAACAUCUAAUUUAGUCAGAACUGAAACUUGAAGUGAGAGUUUUAUGUGGAUAAUGUAAUUUAAAAUCAGAACAAAACUGGCAAUUGAUAAUUUCUUUUAAUCCCACAUUUAUUAUUUUUAUAAAUAACUCAAAAUCUAAUAUUCCUUCCUCCUUCUAUUUUCCUCAUAACGACAACCCUGUGAGGCAUCUUGGCUGGGAGAGAGAGAGAGUGACUGGACCAAACUCACCCAGCUAGCUUUCAUGUCUGGCUGAACUGGAGCACUCUGCAUUGGCAUGUUUGUAUCCUUCAGCCACAGAAUUCAGAAGAAAUACACAGACAGGAUUGUAUAACAACAGGAAUCAAACUUCAGCAAACAGAGGCUAUACAAAAAGUCUUCAUGCAACUUAUUUUCAGAAUAUACUGCUUGAAUAUCUUCAGCCUGUUAUUUUUAAAGAAACAAUUGAAAAUAUUUCUCUUCUAUUUUUCUGCAUUUGGAAAUUUAAAUUACCUAAAAAUUAAUAAUGACAAUCUCAUGACACAUGCUUUUGAAAACAACAGCAAAAUAUGUUCUUUUAAAAAAUUGAUACUACAGGUAAUCUUCAACUUGCUUGACAGUUCAUUUAGUGACUGUUCAAAGUUACAAUGGAAAUGAAAAAGUGACUUAUGACUGUUUUUCAC